rnacentral:rRNA from 1 species
UACGGGGGGGGUAAGCGUUGUUCGGAAUUACUGGGCGUAAAGGGCUCGUAGGCGGCCAAUUAAGUCAGACGUGAAAUCCCUCAGCUUAACUGGGGAACUGCGUCUGAUACUGGAUGGCUUGGAUCCGGGAGAGGGAUGCGGAAUUCCAGGUGUAGCGGUGAAAUGCGUAGAUAUCUGGAGGAACACCGGUGGCGAAGGCGGCAUCCUGGACCGGUAUUGACGCUGAGGAGCGAAAGCAUGGGGAGCGAACGGG